rnacentral:lncRNA from 1 species
UUAAACUUACUGAAAUUACAAGAAGACCCCUGUGAAUUCAAUUUUCUUGAACACACAGAUUACAGCUUACAGAUUCUCACACCAGCGUACAGAGCCAAUCAACAAAUAUCUUUUCAGGCUUCUCUGCUUCCUCAUUCUUUUUUUCAGUGUUUUUUUUUUUUUUUUUCCUUUCUCUUUUCCAUUUUUAUUUGUUUUGGCCAGAAGGUAAUUUUUUCAGAGGUCCACACCUCUUGAACUCCUUUCCUCAAUCCUUAAUCCCCUCGAAUCUCUGUGUUUCUUGAUCUGGGUAUCUAACUAUUUCGUCUCUGGAUAAUUUUUUUAAAUCAUCGAAUUGAAAAAUCUCCCAAGUUUUUUUUUUUUUUUACUGUAAAAAUCAACUUACAGAGACAAAUACCCAUCUGGGUUUCACUCCUUUUGAGUAUCUCUUGCUUUGCUUUAGCAGAUUCAAAGCAAAAGGGUUUCUCGUUAGAGAUGCAAAUGACAAACUUUGUUUCAUAUAAGGUUAGUUUUCUAUUUUUGUCUCUCUUGUGCACCUGUUUUUUUUUUUUUUAUUAGAAUAUCUGCCAUGGUUGUUAUUAUUGUUCUGGGUUUUGAAAGUUGAAGCUAAUUUGGUUCUUAUUGAUGGGUUAGUCCGGCAUAUUUUUCAAUUCUUGUGGAUUUUGGAUCUUGACUCCAUGGAUGUUGUUUGCUGCUUUGUGAGCUUAUAUCUGUCCGUGUUAUCUUCUAUUAUUUUUUUUUCAUACUGAUUCUACUUGUUUUUUUCAUUUGGGUUUGUUUGGGUUUUAUCUGUGGUUUUACCCAAUUAAUGAGACAAAGGAAAAUUCCAAUCUUUAGAUUGUUUAAUCUGAGAUUUUUAUAGGGUUUAUUAACUCCUUGUUUGAGCAGAAUUUUCAAGAUAAUCUCCCAUUUGUCGUGUGGGGAAAUGAAAAGACUCAUCCUUUCUCAGUCCUAGAUUUCUGCUUGAGGGGGAACGUGAUGGUAAACACAACCUCUUAUCAAGGGGUCAGGAAGGAUUGAGUUCAGUCAUUUAUGUAUAGAAAGAGAAAAACAAUAGAGAAGAUCAAUCCAAAUACUUUAUUUCCUUUUGGGUUUUUCCUUUUCUGGGUAACCAAAUUUUUGGUAAAUAUGGUAUUUUCCUUUAUGGAUGGAUCAUUAUGAAAUAGUUUAAUUGAAACUGCUUAAGCUCCACUCUUUCUUUACUAUGCAAGCAAUAGACAUUCUCUGUAAUGGAUUCAUUUGCAUGAUGAGAAUUGCAACCGUGAUGGGUCUUAUCUUGAGAUAUAAAUGAUUGAUCGUGGGUGUGAGUGGUAACUUGUUGCAAGUUCUAAUAAGGAACUAAUCUUGGCUAGUUGUUUAAACUUUGCUCAAUGAAUUUAGUUGGCGGCCUUGUGUUCGCUUUUACUCAUAUCGUUAUUGUUGUUGAAUUUACUUAUCUAUCAAUAAGAUUCUUGUUUGUUUGAUACUUCUUUUAAUAUCUUAGUAAAUUUCUCGUCUGUUGCAGAUUGUGGAGUGUUUCUAUUCUUGUUAGGUGCCCUACACAAGUUCACUCCAUUGGUUAUAACUGAAGUUUGAGUAUGUAUUCUAUGUUGUUUAGUCUGUGAAUUUUGGUAGAUAUUUCCGGAUCUGCUAGUUUUAUUUAGCAAAUUCAGUUCUGUGUAUUUGUUGUUUCAGGAGCAUUUCAUUUUUAUGANNNNN